GGGCCGCCUCCUGACCCCUACUCACCUCGCCCCCAUCUCACUCCCAUCCUCCCCCAAACUCUCCCCACCCGCCCCCAUCUCUCCACCCCGCCUCCUCUCGGCCUCCACCCUGCCCCCACCCUCUGUAGUUGCAAAAUGGGCCCGGGCCCCGCCCCCUGGGUACCCGGGAACCCCAGUCUGGAUCCCCGACUCGGAUUUCGGAUUUCGGCCACCUGGGCGCUCGCAGCCUCUGGGAUUAAGAGCGGGAAUGGUGGUGCACGUCUGCAGUACCCGCAGUCACGGGGCCGAGGCUAGAGGAUCGCCUAAGUUUGAGGACAGCCGCUUUGCUAGGGACCCCGGUCCCUCGCGCUUCCUCAAAUGGAUGGCGGGCGUCAGCGAUCUAAGGCAACCCAACGCCCCUAACUCUGAGUGCUAAACAGGAAAGAGAUACCUUGUUGUACCCCACCCCAUGGCUGAUGGGUGACCUCAGGCCUUUGAGCCACUCCUGGAACCUAGGACGAGUGCUGGGUGACCCGAGAACGGAAGGAGGAGAGGCGGGCCCAGGAGCUGCCUGCGACCUUCGGAGAGAACCUGGGCGGCCACGUGUGGAGGAAGUGGGCGGGGACAAAUGCGUGUUUCAAGGUUCAGCUGUCCAAAAGUUUGCCGGGCAUGGUGGGGUGCACCUGCAAUGCCAACACUCUGGGAAAGUGAGGCAGUAGCAGUACAGUCAGAAUCAGGAGCAGCACUGUGGUGGGAGUGGCCCUGACCUCUGGCCCCUGCUGCGUUGCUGCGGGCCCCUGUGGUACCCUUCCCAGGUCCUCAGAUGUGCUAUUCCAAGAUAAUGUUUAUCCACGGGAUGGGAGUAACAAAAUGCACCAAAGGCUCCAGAUGUUAUCAGAACUAAGUCCACGGCUUUACAAUUUCCAGAUGCUGUCAGGACUAAGUCAACAGCUUAACAGCUCUGCGGGUUUUUGUUUUUUUUUUUCCCUCUCUCUCUCUCUCUUGCUUUUAAAAUCCCUUUCUUCAGUCUCUGCAGUGUGCAGUCUCUGGGUCAAUCCUAAGGGGGCUGCGUCGCCAGGCCUGAAAUAAAAUCCUUUGCUCCAAA